rnacentral:tRNA from 1 species
GGGGUGGUAGCUCAACUGGCAGAGCGUCGCGUUCGCAAUGCGAAGGUUGGGAGUUCAAGUCUCCUCCACUCCA